ensembl:piRNA 21ur-11306 ncRNA
UUUUUAGAAGAUGACUCACCU